rnacentral:tRNA from 1 species
AGCACGAUGGCCGAGUGGUUAAGGCGUUGGACUUAAGUUCCAAUGGACAAAAGUCCGCGUGGGUUCGAACCCCACUCGUGCUA